UACAGAGGGUGCGAGCGUUGUCCGGAAUCACUGGGCGUAAAGGGCGCGUAGGUGGCCUGGUAAGUAGGGGGUGAAAUCUCGCGGCUCAACUGCGAGGCUGCCUCCUAAACUGUCAGGCUCGAGCAGAGUAGAGGAAUGCGGAAUUCCAGGUGUAGCGGUGAAAUGCGUAGAUAUCUGGAGGAACACCGGUGGCGAAGGCGGCAUUCUGGACCAUUACUGACGCUGAGGAGCGAAAGCCAGGGGAGCAAACGGG
rnacentral:rRNA from 1 species